rnacentral:misc_RNA from 1 species
UCUCCGUUGGUGAACCAGCGGAGGGAUCAUUAUAGAGUUUUCUAAACUCCCAACCCUUUGUGAACUUACCUUUGUUGCCUCGGCUGGGCCUACCCGGUACCGACCCCUUUUGGGCGAAGUUACCCUGUAGCCCGCCGACGGCCCACAACUCAUUGUCUGACUCUAAGCAUCUCCGAGCCAUACACAAACGAAUCAAAACUUUCAACAACGGAUCUCUUGGUUCUGGCAUCGAUGAAGAACGCAGC